GCCCAGGACAUGCGGCGCAGCUCAGCCAAUCAUACAGCUCAGCUGAUCAGGUUAGCAGCAACUCACCGAUCAGAGAUCCCUGUGUGCAGAUAACUGAGGUGAUCUGGGCUCAUCACUCUGCGAACUCGCCAAUAGUGCCAGUGGUGGCUGGGGUGACACUGCCGAUAGUCUUCGCCUGGGUGGGGAUGAUGGAGGUGCUGAAUCAGAGCCAAGACGCCGUGUCUUAGUUGGCCUCCUGGAAUAUGUGACUACAGUGAAGACUUACCUGCAAUACCGGCAUCAUCCUGACUGGUCUGAGGCCUGUCUGGGCGGCUGGUCUGUGUGACUGUGGAAAAAGUGACCCCAACAUUAUUACCAUGUUUUUAAAAAAAUGACCCAGUGAAAACCAUUAAUGUACUGUAAGCAUCUAUUUGGUUUGGUAUCAUAAAAAAAAUUAAGCUUAAGAGCUUCUAUAUUCAUGAUUUUGAGUUGAAUAUCAAAAUGUACUUGA